AGUAAGUCAUUCCACCAUGACUUUUUGGAGUUUGGAACGGUUUGAGGCUAACUUUAAUUCCUUGAUUUUCGUCUGAGUUUCUUUUUCUCUUUCUAGUUCUCAAUCUUCUUCUUGGUUUCUAUCCAUGAUUUGUUAUGAGGUUCAAGCCAAAAUAAUUGUGGAAUCCCAUGUGAUUCUUGCUGCUUCAAUUAAUCAGUCUUGUAAUCGUGGUUGUUUUUGAGUUUGUAGAAGAGCAAGAGGUUCUCAGUUAUAUUUUUUGGUUAGGGUUUACAAUUUAAUAGAUCUGCUUGUAGAUCGAUGAUUAAAUCUAGGUCUCAUUGAGAGUUUUUCAUGAUCUGUACUCUCCAUUUGGAUGGUUUCUGUUGUGCUUAGUGUUUGGAAUAAUCUCUAAGCCCCGGAUUAGACGUUUGGUGAACUGGGUAAACAUUCUUGGUGUUCCUUUUAUUUUUCUUCUCCAUGGUUGUUUUUUUCUUGUUUAUCUAUUUCAUAUUUCUGGGGUUAAAAAA
rnacentral:lncRNA from 1 species